UUGCUGCGUCAUAGCUUGCCCCGGCGUUGUUUUAGGCAUAAAAAAUGACUAGACUUCAUUUUCAUGAAGCAAAAAUUGCCUUUAGUCAUUUCGAAAACAAACUGAAAGCUUAUCUUUAAAAAUAUUGCAAGAAAACCUUGCUGCGUCACAGCUCGGUUCUCCCUUCUGGAUGGAAGUUUUGAUUCGAGGUUUUUUUGGAAUCGAAACAGCUCGCUUGCGACACCUUUCUCCCAAAAGCUCGAGACCGUACGAGCAAAAGUUAUGAUUGUCAUGAUUAUCUCAUCAUUGUUGCUUAAACUAGGCACUCACAUGGUUAUCAUGGUCUUUUGGCGAUACGUUCCGAUGACCUAGCGAUUUGCAUUGUUGCAGGGACAGUUUUUUUCCCGGUAACUGAAAAACUCCCUUUUAUGGGGGAUCGAUUGAUAAAUGACCGUGCAAUUUGUGUCAAAACAGUCUCAACAGGACAAAACCAUGAUGAAUUGUCGCGAAGAUCAUUUUCCAGCCAGGUGCAUUUUAGAGCACACGGUUGGAAAGAAAGGUUUGGAAAAAGAAGUCGACAUGUUUCUCACAAUGGACCCUUGAUUUUGGACGCAGUUUUCACUGACAGUGUCGAGAACACGAUUUGAAUACCUUUCCUAAAUUGAAUAUUCAUCAGGACAUUCCCGUGGCAGAUUGACCAAAGUAUUGUAAAAGAUAUUCUCAUCCAGCUUCAUCACACGGGCAUUCGCGAGACGUUUUGAGACGACGAUUUGAAUGAAAGACAUUUCUUCUUUGGCCUUUGUUUCGUUAUAAUUUGAUUGAUUUAGAGGAUCUUUGUAUGUUUAUUAUAAAGUUGAAGGAUAAUUCAAGAUUUUGCAUCCUGCUCUCAAAUAGUUUCAGCGAUUGAUAGGACCCCUAUUUCAUAGAUUUUCAUACCCUACUUCCAAUUGGUUUUUUUACGAGGAUGUUUAUGAAACACACGGUUCCCUCAUUGUACUUUUACAGAGUUUGCCCCCUAUGCGUUAUAAACAUCUAUUAGAUUUUGCUUUAAAUGUGCUAUUUAACUUUGGAGGAUCCUCAACUCUAGCCAUUUAUUGUUACCAAUCUUGCAUUUGGUUUUUUACGAGGAUGUUGGUGAAAUACACGCCUCCCUCAUUGUGAUAUAUUUGAGGGUUUGCCUCAUAUAUUUUGAAAACAUCAGAUUUUAGAUUUUGCUUUAGUUAUGGAUUUUGUUUUGAGGAUUCUCAACUCUAGGGUUGGCUCACCAAUAGUAACUAUUAAUUGUUGUUGUUUUCAAAAUUAGCAAACAUUUUGAUAAUUAUUAUGAUGAUGAAGUA